rnacentral:rRNA from 1 species
GCCCAGACUCCUACGGGAGGCAGCAGUGGGGAAUAUUGCACAAUGGGGGGAACCCUGAUGCAGCGACGCCGCGUGGGUGAAGGAGCGUUUCGGCGCGUAAAGCCCUAUCAGCAGGGAAGAAAAUGACGGUACCUGACUAAGAAGCCCCGGCUAACUACGUGCCAGCAGCCGCGGUAAUACGUAGGGGGCAAGCGUUAUCCGGAAUUACUGGGUGUAAAGGGCGUGUAGCCGGGCUGACAAGUCAGAUGUGAAAUUCCGGGGCUCAACCCCGGACCUGCAUUUGAAACUGUUGGUCUUGAGUAUCGGAGAGGCAGGCGGAAUUCCUAGUGUAGCGGUGAAAUGCGUAGAUAUUAGGAGGAACACCAGUGGCGAAGGCGGCCUGCUGGACGACAACUGACGGUGGGGCGCGAAAGCGUGGGGAGCAAACAGGAUUAGAUACCCGAGUAAU